UACGUAGGUGGCAAGCGUUGUCCGGAAUUAUUGGGCGUAAAGGGAGCGCAGGCGGGAAGGUAAGUCGGUCUUAAAAGUGCGGGGCUCAACCCCGUGAUGGGAUCGAAACUAUCUUUCUUGAGUGCAGGAGAGGAAAGUGGAAUUCCUAGUGUAGCGGUGAAAUGCGUAGAUAUUAGAAGGAACACCAGUGGCGAAGGCGCCUUUCUGGACUGUAACUGACGCUGAGGCUCGAAAGCCAGGGGAGCGAACG
rnacentral:rRNA from 1 species